CAGAAAGUAGUUUAGAUNAGAACGCCAAUUUUGGGUAUUGGUGGAGAAGUUAGGUGCUUUCUUUCUGA
rnacentral:tRNA from 1 species